ACUUACCGGAACUCCUGUUGCGCAGGGCCAUCCCCAGUUGACCAGUCCCACCAGGUAACCAUUGCUGACCAGAGGUCCACCGGAAUCUCCAUGGCAGGCACCUUCUCCCAGCCGCGAAAAAGUGCAAAUGUGACCCACAUCACAAUCUUCAUCGUUGCUCAGCAGGGCUUUGCACUCGCGAUGGGGAACGUACUGAAGGUAUAGAACCUGCAAAUCGAUGGGACUGGUGCCCCAGAGGACCGUGGAUCCCCAACCAGUGAGGAUUACUUCAUCACCCGGCUGCAUGGGCACCAAGGGCAACGGGAUCGGCUGAGUGCGCUCGUCCCAAGCAAUUGGCUCAACUAAUUCCAACAGGGCAAUAUCAUUGUGCAUCUCCGGAUUAUCGUAGUUACAAUGGAUAUGAAUGGCUUUUAGGAAAUACCUGCCUCCUGGUUGGUUAUACUUAUUAGUGCCCGUGACGACAACCAGCCAUGGAAUAAAGGCAUUUUCGACACAGUGAGCGGCUGUCAGGACGAAGGUCUCGUUUAUUAUGGCACCACCACAGGAGUGGGCACCGGAGAUUCCCUGCAAGGAUAUCUGAUAGGGAGCGAAGCCAUCCUCAGCUGCCUGACCACCGAUGAUCCGUUGAUCCUUGUAAAACCGACCAUCCGUUGAGUUUCCCUUGAUUCGUAUGGCUGUUAUGGAUACGAGUCCCGAAAGACCCAACAAAAUAAGUAAAACCACUGCCGACAUCUUGUUACUGGCCCUGGUCAGCUAAUGAAGUUUUCAGUCGUACUUGCUGCCUUCUUGACCAUUUAUCGGAAUCAGAUAAAAAAUCAGUUUAUGGCGCGAUUGUUGGAACCUUUGGUCAGGCCAUUUUGACUUUCGUAUAGUUCAAUC
ensembl:ncRNA asRNA:CR44238 antisense RNA:CR44238